rnacentral:lncRNA from 1 species
CACAUUUUCCACAAAGUUCCUAUCUUGGUGAACUUAAGGCAGACUCAGAAUAAGAGAAGCAUUCUGAGGAGAUUUUUAUAUAAUAAUCAUCCUGUGUUGAAUGACUGAUUAAAUGUCUACAAAUAGUUUCUUUUUGAUCUGAGAAUUUUCUUACCCAAGGAGCUGACCAUUCAUCUGAAGAGCAGGCACUUUUUGGAGGAUUUGCUCCGAGGCCUCAGUAUCCUGGAAAUCCUGGAAAUGGUCCAUUUCUUGGAGGACCUUCAUAUCCUCCAUAUGGUGGAUAUGGGCCAAAUCCUGGAAAUCCCCCAUAUUAAGAAAUCCCCAAAAUGUCCCCCAAAGAGGACCUCAAUAAACACAGCUUUGCCUGGAAGACUGACUCAAGCUGUCUUUGUGAAUCUCUCUAUCUGCCUAGUUAUCAGCCUCUAUUAUUGAGCAUUAGAUAGUAGCUCCAACCUUGUUAGAUUAACAUGAAUCAUUCUUCCAAAGGACUAAUGCUCUCCUUUACACUCCCCAUAUAAUAAAUUCAGCUCACAGCUUAUUGAAUCUCUGUCG